CUUGGUCAUUUAGAGGAAGUAAAAGUCGUAACAAGGUUUUCGUAGGUGAACCUGCGGAAGGAUCAUUACCGAAGUCGAUGGGGGGAAGUGCUGGCCCGUUGGGCAUGUGCACCCUCUCGCCCUUCAUCCACACACACCUGUGCACCUUUCGAGGCGAGGACUCCCAUGCCUGGAGCCGGACUUCGGCGUCGCCGCCGCGUCCCGAGGACUCGCCUACACUUUUCACAAACUCUUUGUAACGUCCCGGAAAGUAGUCGCGGCGUCGCCGCAAAACCCAUACACAACUUUCAACAACGGAUCUCUUGGUUCUCGCAUCGAUGAAGAACGCAGCGAAAUGCGAUAAGUAAUGUGAAUUGCAGAAUUCAGUGAAUCAUCGAAUCUUUGAACGCACCUUGCGCUCCUUGGCAUUCCGAGGAGCAUGCCUGUUUGAGUGUCAUGUUAACUCUCGGCCCCUUGGGGUUGGACUUUGGACGUUGCGGGAGGCCCUUCCGCUCGUCUCAAAAGCAUUAGCGGGGUUCGGGCACCGACCCAUUGCUGGCGUUUAGUAAUGCUUGCGCCGCGCGGGGCUUUCACUGCCUUUUCCCGCUGACCAGCGGACGCCACGGCGUCGAACUUGACUUCUGGCCUCAAAUCAGGUAGGAUUACCCGCCGAACUUAAGCAUAUCAAUAAGCGGAGGA
rnacentral:rRNA from 1 species